rnacentral:misc_RNA from 1 species
AAAAAAAGUUACAAACUUCCUAUUUUCUCUUAUAUGUUAGGAAAACAAAUGGAUGCAAAGAGUAGGAUCCUUCCCUUUUUGUUUCUCCUUGUUUUCCGUAGUAUCCUUCCGUUCCUCAAGUGUCCAUCCUCCCAAGUAGAUUGUAUGCCAUCAAAGAAACAUUAUUUCAAUCUAAAACAGAUGAUCUUAUUUUUUGCUUUUUAAUCUUGUGAGCUUUGUUGGACAAUAUCAUGUUGUUUAAGUUGAUGAAAGAAAUGCUUUAUGAUAGUUUAGAUAUGAAUACUAGUAAUAAUAUACUGAUUAAAAUAAUCUUAUGGUUUCUGGGUGCUUGCUGGAACUUUUCCACUGUUGGUUUGUAUGCUAGACGACUCUAUUUUGAAUUCUAGAACAGUUAAGAUGAAUAAGAAGAAAAGAAUAGGUUUAAGACAAUAAAUAAGAAAGGAAAGCAUGGCUAUUUUAUUAACAAAGGUUAAAACUUGUCAUUAAUGAAAAGAAAAGGAAAAUCUUACUUCUAUUUCCACUAUGAGCAAGACAUGACUUCAAUGCAAAUAUCCUGUUCCAACUGCCAUGCCUUUUUUCACUAUUCAGAGCUGGGGUUUCCUGUACCUGAUACCUGUUUACCAAAGAUAUGUAAUAACUUGCUAUAUUAACACAUUCAUGAUCAACAAUAAUGGGAAUGAAUAAUAUCCAUUAUAG